rnacentral:rRNA from 1 species
AAUAGACUACCCGGGUAGUCCAUGCCGUAAACGUUGGGCACUAGGUGUGGGGGACAUUCCACGUUUUCCGCGCCGUAGCUAACGCAUUAAGUGCCCCGCCUGGGGAGUACGGCCGCAAGGCUAAAACUCAAAGGAAUUGACGGGGGCCCGCACAAGCGGCGGAGCAUGCGGAUUAAUUCGAUGCAACGCGAAGAACCUUACCAAGGCUUGACAUGGACCGGACCGCCGCAGAAAUGUGGUUUCCCCUUUGGGGCCGGUUUACAGGUGGUGCAUGGUUGUCGUCAGCUCGUGUCGUGAGAUGUUGGGUUAAGUCCCGCAACGAGCGCAACCCUCGUUCUAUGUUGCCAGCGGUUCGGCCGGGAACUCAUAGGAGACUGCCGGGGUCAACUCGGAGGAAGGUGGGGACGACGUCAAAUCAUCAUGCCCCUUAUGUCUUGGGCUUCACGCAUGCUACAAUGGCCGGUACAAAGGGUUGCGAUACUGUGAGGUGGAGCUAAUCCCAAAAGCCGGUCUCAGUUCGGAUUGGGGUCUGCAACUCGACCCCAUGAAGUCGGAGUCG